AAUAUGUAUUAACUUUGUCAAUAUUCCACCAUUUAAUAAUGGACUUGGUUAAAAAUCAAAAUAUUAGUGUUUAUCUAUUUAGUUGAUUUGUUUUCGUUAAAUAAAUAAAAAUGUAUUUGUAUCACAUUAGAAUUUGAUCAUUUUUAAUUAGUAUUUACAUUAUUUUGGGGAAUAAUUUUUAAAAUUCAAAAUACCACGUAAUGAAACUGAAUAUUAAUAUUUUGAUAGCAAAAAAUAAGCACAUAUAUUUUCACUUAAGUUUUAUCUUUCUGUUUUUAUGUCAAUUAUUUGAAUGGAUAGAUUUAAUAAAUUUGUUAGUUUAACACUU